rnacentral:tRNA from 1 species
GGCUCGUUGGUCUAGGAGUAUGAUUCUCGCUUAGGGUGCGAGAGGUCCCGGGUUCAAAUCCCUGACGAGCCC